AGCGAACGCUGGCGGCAGGCUUAACACAUGCAAGUCGAGCGGGCACUUCGGUGUCAGCGGCAGACGGGUGAGUAACACGUGGGAACGUACCCUUUGGUUCGGAAUAACGCUGGGAAACUAGCGCUAAUACCGGAUACGCCCUUUUGGGGAAAGGCUUGCUGCCGAAGGAUCGGCCCUCGUCUGAUUAGCUAGUUGGUGGGGUAAUGGCCUACCAAGGCGACGAUCAGUAGCUGGUCUGAGAGGAUGAUCAGCCACACUGGGACUGAGACACGGCCCAGACUCCUACGGGAGGCAGCAGUGGGGAAUAUUGGACAAUGGGCGCAAGCCUGAUCCAGCCAUGCCGCGUGAGUGAUGAAGGCCUUAGGGUUGUAAAGCUCUUUUGUCCGGGACGAUAAUGACGGUACCGGAAGAAUAAGCCCCGGCUAACUUCGUG
rnacentral:rRNA from 1 species